GAGCCUCUUGUGCAGGACAAGUGCCGGCCAGCGGAAAGCUUAUCUGCUUAUCUCCCUCCUGGAGAUGUCUUCCUGUUGUGUUCCACAGUCACGAGCUGUGCCCUGGAGAGAUAGGCACAGAAAUACACAGACGGGAACCAUGGUGGGUUUUCUAAAGGAAGAACAUAGUGGCCUAAAAGGAAGCUGGAAGUGCACCUAGUCUCCCUCAGCUAGUUUGCUAUGACUCAGCAGGUCCUGGAGGACCACAUGAAACUGUAGCACUGUUAUCGUGGACGUUAUCUCCGGGGAUGUUAUCACCUACUAGUAGCUGCUGCUUCACCAUGGUGUUCUAAGGGACAGGCUCUGAGAAAUCCUGGGAUCAGCCAUCUCUGUCUCCUUGGAUGUGAUAAUGUCUUCAAACAGACCCAAGUCUUUGGAGAAAAAGGGUAGUGCAGUUAUUACUGAGCAGUGAAUUAUCCACUUUCAAGAAACUAAUGAGAAGAACAGG